CUCUCUCUUUCUCUCGAUCACACACACUCUCUCACCCGCAAGCAGACAUUGGGAGAGGAGAGGAGUGAGGACGACGUGAGGAUCUCCUCAACUCGCUCCACUCAAGAGUGAAGAAGAAGAGGAGGGAGGAGGGAGGAAUAGACUGCAGCCACUCGCUUGCCCCCCCCAACCCCCCACCCCCUCUCUCUCUCUCUCACUCUCUUUCCUUCUUGAUCCUCUCUUCUUCUCAUCUUGCCAAUGACACCAUGAACCUGCCUGCCGCUUGUUGCUAAGGAGGGAGCCAAGCCGGCGGAAGGGAGCGCGGUGGACAGGACCGGACCGGACCGCUCUUCGCGUUCCAAGGUGUGAGUGAAGAUGGCAGAGGGCUCCAAAGAGCGCGUUGUCGUGGACAUCACAGAUCCAGAUGAGGACUCUCCAAACAUGAUCAUCUACAGAAAGAUUGAGGACAUUGUCACGAGAAUACAAGAUGAGAACGCGGGAGGUGUCGCCAUCCGGACUGUCAAAAGCUUCCUGUCCAAGAUCCCCAGUGUGGUAUCAGGGGCGGACAUUGUUCAGUGGCUGAUGAAAAACCUGUCUAUAGACGAUCCAGCUGAGGCCAUCCACUUGGGAAGUCUGAUUGCUGCUCACGGCUACAUCUUCCCAAUCUCUGACCACGUCCUCGCGCUCAAAGAUGACGGCACUCUUUACCGCUUUCAGUCUCCGUACUUCUGGCCUUCAAACUGCUGGGAGCCUGAGAACACAGACUAUGCCAUCUACCUGUGCAAGCGCACGAUGCAGAACAAGGCCAGGCUGGAGCUAGCUGACUAUGAGGCUGAGAAUCUUUCCCGGCUGCAGAGGGCUUUCGCCAGGAAGUGGGAGUUCAUCUUCAUGCAGGCUGAAGCUCAAGUGAAAAUCGACAGAAAGAAGGACAAGGUGGACAGGAAGGUCCUGGAUAGCCAAGAGAGGGCCUUCUGGGAUGUCCAUCGACCAGUGCCAGGCUGCGUCAACAUGACUGAUAUGGACAUCCGCAAGUGUCGCAGAGAGAGGAACCCACACAGGGUGAAAAAGUCAGUCUACGGAGUGCCAGAUGACAGCCAAAGCCAACCGAGUCCAGUCCACAUCAGCUCUCCGCCGGCCAGAAAGCUCACCCAAGACGACGUUGAGAAGGAGAUCACCUUCCUCAACAUCCAACUGGGGCGACACUGCAUGAAGGUUUCCAAAGUGGCCGACAGUCUGAUGGGGUACACGGAGCAAUUCAUGGAGUACGACCCACUGGUGUCUGCUAUCGAGCCCUCCAACCCCUGGAUCGGCGACGACACCUCCUUCUGGGACGUGGAGGCAAGUCAUGACCCGACCCAACAGAGAGUGAAGAAGUGGGGCUUCUCCUUGGAGGAAGCUCUUAAAGACCCAGCAGGAAGAGACCAGUUCCUGAAGUUCCUGGAGUCCGAGUUCAGCUCGGAGAACUUGCGGUUUUGGUUGGCAGUGCAGGAUCUGAAGCGUCAGCCGCUGCAGGACGUCCCCUCCAGGGCGCAGGAGAUCUGGCAGGAGUUUCUAGCCGAGGGAGCGCCGAGCUCAGUCAACCUGGACUCUCACAGCUAUGAGCGCGCCAGCCAAAACCUGAAAGACCCCGGGCGCUACAGCUUUGAGGAUGCUCAGGAGCACAUAUUCACACUCAUGAAAAGUGACAGCUAUGCACGCUUUUUGCGAUCCAGCAUCUACCAAGACCUCCUGUUUGCCAGAAAGAAGAACACUGUCGUAGUGUAAUAUGGAUCUUUCUAGCAAAUCGCUACUUGUGUUCACGCCAGCCUUUCUGUCCCUUCCCGUUACAACAUUGCCGCUGCCCGCCACCUCCACCCCCCUUAAACCGCCAUGUUUGUGUCCUUGACUCUUCAUUUAUGCACUUCCUGACCAUUCCCCCCCCCCCCACCCCCCGACUAAUAACAUCACCGCCCAUCUCAUCAACCCCUUUACUUGACCCAAACCACGCCCCUCCCAUAGCAACAACCUGCAGACCCCGAACAAGGCCGCCGCACCUCCUUGGAGAAGUUCACCCGCAGUGUGGGCAAGUCAUUGACGGGCAAACGUCUAUCAGGCCUGAUGCAGUCAUCCUGACACACUUCUGUUUGCGGGAGGAGCAGUGAGCCCCCCAAGAGGGGCGACCACGAGGAACAGGGCUGGUCGUCAGCACACAACCGGCACCGUUCCGCUCACACGGCACUGAGCCUGCUGGGACAUGGACUCCAAGACCAGACACGGUGACUGGAAGUGAGCGCUGACAGGAGGGGAAGUGACGUGUCAACGCAGCCUCCUUACACAAUGGGUUGUUUGUUGGAUAAGCUAAUACAUUUAUAUUUUAUAUCAAUGUAUACUGUGUACGUCUGUCUCAUUAAAAGCACAUUUGGAAAAUAAAUGACAAAGGUUUUUGCUGGUUUCUUUUUUUUGCCCAGAAUUCAACAUGGGUCCAUUGA